rnacentral:rRNA from 1 species
UACGUAGGUGGCGAGCGUUGUCCGGAUUUACUGGGCGUAAAGCGCGCGCAGGCGGUUCUGUAAAUCCUGGGUGAAAUCGCCCGGCUCAACUGGGCGGGGGCCUGGGGGACUGCGGGACUGGAGGGGCCUAGAGGCCGGUGGAACUCCCGGUGUAGUGGUGAAAUGCGUAGAGAUCGGGAAGAACACCAGUGGCGAAGGCGGCCGGCUGGGGGCGCCCUGACGCUGAGGCGCGAGAGCGUGGGGAGCGAACCGG